CCCUUAGAUGUCCUGGGCCGCACGCGCGUUACACUGAUGCAUUCAACGAGCUUAUAACCUUGGCCGAGAGGCCUGGGCAAUCUUGUUAACGUGCAUCGUGAUAGGGAUAGAUUAUUGAAAUUAUUAAUCUUGAACGAGGAAUUCCUAGUAAACGCAGAUCAUCAAUCUGCAUUGAUUACGUCCCUGCCCUUUGUACACACCGCCCGUCGCUGCCCGGAACUGAGCCGUUUCGAGAAAGCCGGGGACUGACGGCUUGUGGGUGCGCAAGCACUUCUUGCCGAUGGAAACCAGUUUAAUCGGUAUGGCUUGAACCGGGCAAAAGUCGUAACA
rnacentral:rRNA from 1 species